rnacentral:rRNA from 1 species
CAGCCGCCGCGGUAAAACGAAGGGUGCAAGCGUUACUCGGAAUUACUGGGCGUAAAGCGUGCGUAGGUGGUGGUUUAAGUCCGUUGUGAAAGCCCUGGGCUCAACCUGGGAAUUGCAGUGGAUACUGGGUCACUAGAGUGUGGUAGAGGAUGGUGGAAUUCCCGGUGUAGCGGUGAAAUGCGUAGAGAUCGGGAGGAACAUCAGUGGCGAAGGCGGCCAUCUGGGGCAACACUGACGCUGAGGCACGAAAGCGUGGGGAGCAAACAGGAUUAGAUACCCCCGUAGUCCCUGUCUCUUAUAC